rnacentral:rRNA from 1 species
GCGAAGCGGGAAGAGCUCAAAUUUAUAAUCUGGCACCUUCGGUGUCCGAGUUGUAAUCUCUAGAAAUGUUUUCCGCGUUGGACCGCACACAAGUCUGUUGGAAUACAGCGGCAUAGUGGUGAGACCCCCGUAUAUGGUGCGGACGCCCAGCGCUUUGUGAUACAUUUUCGAAGAGUCGAGUUGUUUGGGAAUGCAGCUCAAAUUGGGUGGUAAAUUCCAUCUAAAGCUAAAUAUUGGCGAGAGACCGAUAGCGAACAAGUACCGUGAGGGAAAGAUGAAAAGCACUUUGGAAAGAGAGUUAACAGUACGUGAAAUUGUUGGAAGGGAAACGCUUGAAGUCAGACUUGCUUGCCGAGCAAUCGGUUUGCAGGCCAGCAUCAGUUUUCCGGGAUGGAUAAUGGUAGAGAGAAGGUAGCAGUUUCGGCUGUGUUAUAGCUCUCUGCUGGAUACAUCUUGGGGGACUGAGGAACGCAGUGUGCCUUUGGCGGGGGUUUCGA